GAUGAACGCUAGCGGCAGGCCUAACACAUGCAAGUCGAGGGGCAGCACGUGAAGUUAGCAAUAACUUUUGGUGGCGACCGGCGGACGGGUGCGUAACGCGUAUGCAACCUACCUUAUACAGGGGGAUAAUUCGGCGAAAUCUGGUCUAAUACCCCAUAAUAUUAUGAACGGCAUCGUUUGUAGCUGAAAGUUCAGGCGGUAUAAGAUGGGCAUGCGUUGUAUUAGUUAGGUGGUGGGGUAACGGCCCACCAAGACUACGAUACGUAGGGGGACUGAGAGGUUAACCCCCCACACUGGUACUGAGACACGGACCAGACUCCUACGGGAGGCAGCAGUGAGGAAUAUUGGUCAAUGGGCGCAAGCCUGAACCAGCCAUGCCGCGUGCAGGAAGACGGCUCUAUGAGUUGUAAACUGCUUUUGUACGAGGGUAAUAGUGGGUACGUGUACCCAUGUGAAAGUAUCGUACGAAUAAGGAUCGGCUAACUCCGUGCCAGCAGCCGCUGUAACAC
rnacentral:rRNA from 1 species